rnacentral:rRNA from 1 species
AGGAUAAACGCUGGCGGCGUGCCUAACACAUGCAAGUCGAACGUCCUACGCAAGUAGGGAGUGGCGGACGGGUGAGUAACACGUGGGCAAUCUACCUUUCGGUGAGGAAUACCGGUGAGAAAUCGCCGACAAUACCGCAUACGCUUCGCAAGAAGCAAAGUCGCAAGACGCCGGAGGAGGAGCCUGCGCCCGAUUAGCUGGUUGGUGGAGUAAUGGUCUACCAAGGCGACGAUCGGUAGCUGGUCUGAGAGGAUGAUCAGCCACACUGGGAUUGAGAACGGCUCAGACUCCUACGGGGGGCAGCAGUGAGGAAUUUUCGUCAAUGGGGGAAACCCUGAACGAGCAACGCCGCGUGCAGGAAGACACUUUUCGGAGCGUAAACUGCUUUUCUCGGGGACGAGUAAGGACGGUACCCGAGGAAUCAGCCCCGGCUAACUACGUGCCAGCAGCCGC